rnacentral:misc_RNA from 1 species
AACGUGGAACUCAGUGACGGAGGGCGUGUGUGUGUUAGUCCCGAGCGGAUUCUUGUGUGUAACUGUGGGAACUUUUUUGGGGAAUUGUUUUUGUUAUAAAAAAACACGAUCUUACGAGUUUAUUUAUCGGUGUUUCGUUGGUUGGAUGUUUCUGUGUAUGGGCCUUUGAAGAGGAAAGAGAAAACUAUUGAUAAUACGAGCAAACUUAGCUAAUUCUUGAGUGAUUAGCGUCGUUUUGUGAAAUAAUUCUUGGAUCGGACGAAGCUCAUCUUGGGAGUGUCUUCGACUGCCGCACCUCCACUUUAGUUCAGUGUGAUUGGCUGGCCGCGUGGUGACGUAUCGUGACGUCAACGAUGAGUCACUUGCGAUUGGCUGGAGCCAUUGCGGUACUCCCUCCCCUACCCGAACACAGAUUACAGAGUUCCCGAGAGGUCCACAUGAGGGCCCUGAGUGAGCUCCAGAGUGCUGCCUCCCGCCUCCCACACCCAGGUGAGUGC